UCUUUUAAUAUUGGUUAUUGCACCUUACUGAAGUGACGACUUUAAAUGGUCUAUUUCGGAGUACUUCCGCAACAUAAAUUUCAAUUCGCAUUUUACAUUCAGAGGAUUGUCUUAAUGUCUCCAAUUUGUCUUUGCAAAAGUUGGACGAAGUUCAUGUAAUGAGAUUUUUCCCCAUUUCCCCAUUCUUUUAAAUAAACGAUUAAUAAAAAUUGCAAAAUUUAACCUGUGUUGAACCUAUUUCCCUGAGCGGAGUCUAUAGCAACAUGCACUAUUCUUUUUUUCAGAAGCAAUCAUCAACCUCUUUUUCCAAAUUCAAUCAUAAUUGUUGUUAAUUAUCAUGAACCUUUAAUUGAAACUUUAGAACAUGUAACGUCGGAAAUAGCGUCUUUUGGAUUUUAGACGUUUUCAGACGUUUAGACAAAUUGGCUACCGUUUUGUAAUGUGUGGAAUCAUUUUUAUUCCUUUAAGACCCAAGUAUGUAGUUGAUAAGAAAAGAAUCUUGGCAUUUUUUAAUCUUCGUUUAUCUAACUUUUGUUUUGAUCAAAAAAUUUUAAAAAAUACGCGAAAAAUGAGGCAAAUAUUUGUACUUUUGUUAGAUAUUAUUAUUGUUUACUCUUUUUAUUCAUUUACUGCUAUAUCUACUUAUAAAAUUCACUUUCAGUCGUUGAACUAACGAAAUACGUCGUUGGACAUUUUUCUUAUUCCAGUUUAAUAUACAGCCACCGAGUCAAAUGAAAUUUGGCAAAAAAAACGGCUUUAACGCCACAAAGAACCGACACAUGUCGCUGUUCCGGCCAAGAAUCAAAAAGAUCAGAGAAUAAGAAAUAGGAUCACUCUACAUAAGAGUUAAAACAGUUUUUCAUAAAUGUAACGUUGGACAUCCGUUUUUUUUUCACAUAGCUUUGUUAUUUUAAUCCUCAAAUAACAUAGGUAUUACUUACUAUAUGAUCAAGAGCUGUAAAAACAUAAUUUAAAACGUAUAUUGAUUUUGUUAUAUUAUUUGUUUGUGUUUUCUAACAUUUUUAUUUUGUUUUGCGGAUGAAAUUUCGAAGAUUCUGUUUUAAAUCCUAGGGGUUGUAGAAACAUCGUGCACACCGUUUAAAAGUAGACAUAGAGCAAUCAGUACUUCAGUUCACCCUUAUUAUACAAAACGCCAUGUAGUUUGCGCUAAUUCAUAUGGAGGUGGAAAGCUUGGUUUGCUUUGGUAGGACUGAAUGUCAAUCAUCAUAUAGUUCCAUAUGAUAACAUGUUCAGAAAUUAAUAAAACUAGGAUCAAAAUGAUUAAUUAAAUUUCUAGUAUUGUCCCCAGUUUUAAUUCAAUGAGUGAAGAAAACAAAUUUGAAUUUAUAUUUUCCUGUGAAGAAUGUGAUAUUUUACUUAUUAUUGUUAACUAGAAUGAAAUUCAAAACAGGGUGGCUGUGGCCAUUGAUUGACACAUUAAAUUCAUCCAUUGACUGGGACAAUUUAGGUGAACGUUUGUAUGUAACGACCACUGCUCACUGUGUACUUUUUAAAGACACUUAAACUAUGGGGUCACCAAAGGUUCUCA
rnacentral:lncRNA from 1 species